GAUUAUUUUUUUUUGUUUUAAUAUUAUACGUGCUACUUAUUUCGCAGAGUAAUGGACUUACGUAGUGAAAGAUGUUGGAUGUAUUAGCGAAGUGGUAAAGGAGUUUAUAAUAUUAGAUAUUUAGAAGGGGUCGAAGAAUUUAUACAAUUUGCAAAGAAAAAAACUAGAUGAGGUUAGAUGUCCGUGUAAACGGUAUGAUAACCGUAGACUGUUUGCUCUAGAAGUCGUUAUAGAUCAUUUGUUAAAGAAGGGCUUUGUUGAAAACUACUAUGAUUGGUACCGGCAUAAAUGUCAUGAAGGUGCACCAAUUAAUGUGUUGGCUCCGGUAGAGCAAUAGCAGAACGCAGUUCAAAAUCCGUAUGCACAAAUGGUGUACGAUGCAGCAGAGAGUAAUUUUCCUGAUACACAUCAUCAUUUUCUACCUCAUUAUGAUGAUGUCGUCGCUAAUGUACCACACUCGCCCUUACAUAUUGAAGAAGAUGCGAACGCUCAAUCAAGACAGUUCUUUGAAAUGUUAAAAACCGCCAACUUACUUCUGUACCCUGGUUGCGAAACUCAUACUCAGAUGUCGAUAAUAGGAAGGAUGGCGAAUCUGAAGACGGACUUUCGUAUUCUCGAGAGACUUUACGAUGAAAUUUGUCAAUUGAUUAUUGAAGUGUUGCCGAAAGAUAAUUGGAUGACAUCCAGUUUUUAUGAUACGAAAAAAAAAAUUUCGGCUCUUGGAUUAACUGUUGUAUUAAUGAGUUUAUGAUUUAUUGGGGCCCCACAGCGAGUAUGAAACAAUGCGAUGAUUGUGGGGUUUCUAGAUGGAUAACAGAUAAGACCCCUAGAAAACAGUUCCACUACUUUCCCCUCGAUCCUAGGCUACAACGGCUGUAUGCUUCUACGACUACCACUAGUCAUAUGAGGUGGCAUGCGGAGCACCGUUCAGAAGAUGGAGAGAUGUGUCACCCCUCGGACAGUGAAGCCUAAUUGACAUUCAACGCGACCCAUCCGAAUUUUCCUAGGGAGACAAGAAAUGUGAGACUAGGGUUGUAUACAGAUGGCUUCAACCCAUUUGGCAUCUCGGGAUAACAAUAUUCAUGUUGGCCCAUAAUAUUAACUCCAUAUAAUCUUCCUCCCUUGAUGUCCAUGAAGAAACUGUAUAUGUUUUUAACGUUGAUCGUCCCCAGUCCUAACAAUCCAAAACAUAAGAUAGACAUGUACCUACAGCCACUGAUACACAAAUUGAAGCUGUUGUGGGAAGAUAGGAUCCAGACAUACGACGUAUUUAAGAGGGAGAACUUUCAACUUCGUGCGGCUUUGAUAUGGACAAUCAACAACUUUCCAGCUUAUUCGAUGAUGUCGCGGUAGAGUACAUCUGGCAUGCACGCUUGUCCGUACUGUAUGGAUGAUUCAAAAGUCGUCAAUUUAAGACACAACAUAAAAGUGAGUUGGUUUGACUCACAUAGAAGAUUUUUAAAUAGGAGACACCCGUAUUGCAAAAAUCGGAUAAAUUUCAGUCAUGGAGCUGUUGAGAAGGAUAUUAGACCCGACAUAUGUACGGGAAAUGAGUUGUUACUGUUAGAGGAGCUGGAUCGUUUUGGGUUUUUACGGGUAUUUGAAGAUGAUGCAUCUGAGUACAACGCUGAAAUCAGUAAGUACUGUGUUGGAUGAAAGAUGAGAAGCAUUUUUUGGGAUCUACCAUACUGGAGAACAAACAUGAUCUGUCACAACUAGGACGUGAUGCACAUUGAGAAGAACUUUUUUAAUAACAUUUUCAACACUUUGAUGUGUGUGCCGGGAAAAACUAAGGAUCAUCUGAAGGCACAUCAAGAUUUAGCUGAGCUCAUCUGAAGGCACGUCAAGAUUUAGCUGAGCUCAUCUGAAGGCACAUCAAGAUUUAGCUGAGCUCGACAUCCAUUCGGAAUUGCAUCUAGUUGGUUCAACCAUCUCCAAGGCCUCAUACACACUUAAUAGACAACAAAUGGUUGCCUUUUAGAGUGGCUUCAAACUCUAAGAUUACCUGAUGGGUAUGUUUUAAAUUUAGCCAGGAACAUCGAAAUGGCUAAACAUCAGAUAUUUGGGAUGAAGAGUCAUGAUUGUCAUGUGUUCAUGAAACGAUUAAUUACCAUAGCAUUUCGGGAAUUGCUGCCAGCUAAAGUAUGAGAAGCUCUAACAGAAGUUAGUUUGUUCUUUAGAAGUCUUACUUCUUCAAAGAUUUCUGCAGCUGAUAUGUGGAGGUUGGAUGAGGAAAUUGCAAUGGUGCUCUGUAAAUUAGAGACUAUAUUUCCUCCAACAUUCUUUGAUGUCAUGGAACAACUCCCUGUUCAUCUGGCUUACGAGGCAAGGAUUGCUAGUCCGGUACAAUACAGGUGGAUGUAUCCAUUUGAGAGGUAAAUUUUAAAACUAAAAAUUAUUUAAGUUACAAGUCAGCAAGUCUUAAUUAUUACUAUUUAAAGCUUAAUGUCAAAAAUUACAGGUACCUUCGACAUUUAAAGCUUAACGUCAAAAUAAAGCACAUGUUGAGGCUUCGAUCUGUAAUGCAUAUCUUACAGAAGAAGCAUCAUAGGAGCAUAUUCUGAGGAAUGAAUUUAUGAGGAAGGAGGUCACUCCUUCUCCGGUGACGUUGCGUGGUUCGCGACGUCCACCAGAGUCUGCCACUCCACAGGGACCGCCGCGCGAAGAUUCUUCCCCUGCGGUAGAGCACACACGACCACCCCUCCCAUAGAUGCCUGAUAAUUCUGGGUACGUUUUAUUAUUUGUGGCUUUUUGAUAGUUAUAAUCAGUCAAUAAAGUAAUUAAAACUUGUUGAUUUUUGAAGGUUUGCCACAGACGGUGGCAACCAAUUAGCCACCUCCAUCCGUGUAGGUCCUUUGAGGCUUAUCAAGAUCCUAAUGGAUGGGCAUGGAGGCACCUAGACAGACAAACAAUCGAGUUCUACUAGCAGCAGUUUCAAAAACAAUGGUCUUGGGAUCCUUCUAUUACUCCCUUAGUGUAUAGGGAGUGGGAGAAGAAGGCCAAGAUCCGGUACAAGGACAUUAUUUUUACUCAUAGGAAAACCUAUGAGAAAAAUGAUGACUACAAGCCGAGCUGGGUGGCGAAGGAGAUUUGGGAAAGGUGGGUCGGUUUCUGGAAGUCCGAAGAGUUUCAAUCUCAUCGGUCCAGAGGUAGAAGGAACCGCCGCCGGAGGGAAGAAAAGGGUGCGGCGGAAGUCACCCAUGCCGGCGGUUCGAUGUCUGCGCGCAGGAUGUUGCGCAUUUUGGAGCAAGAGCAACAAAGGACGCCUUCUUCUUAUGAGUUGUUUCUUCACACUCAUAAAGUGCGAACCAGAGAUGGUUUGCAGUGGGUCAAUGAGAAGUCCGAGGAAUAAGUGAUGAAUACAAGCGCCUCAUUGCACCUCUCCCUGUAGAUGCGCCUGUCGAGCGUUUGAACGAUGCCUAUUUUCACGCCGUUAAAAAUAUCGAAUCACAGGCGCCAAGGAAGAAGAAGCCCUUUAAGGCUGUCUAUGGUGUUGGAGACGCGACACAGCAUUAUUGUGCCGAGUUUGUGACGCCGCAAUUCCAACACCAAGCCACUCCUCCACCGAUCCAAAUGGUUAAUGAGAGACUAGAUCAUCUUCAGGAAGUCUUAGAUAAUGACCCUUGUGGAAGCGCAACGCAAAACGAUGGAAAAGGUGAACCAUUUGCUAUCCUUUGUGCGCACGUUGUUUCAGUUUAACUCGGCAUUCCAACAACCUCCUCCGCCUCCACCAUCCAGCUAAACCAUUGUUUUUAAAUUUCUUAAUGUUGAAUUAUGUUUGGGAACAAUUUGGAAUUGUAUAAUUUAUUUGGCAAAUACUUUUAUUUUUUUUGUAUAUUUGUAUAUAUAUUUAGUUUC